rnacentral:rRNA from 1 species
AGUGAACGCUGGCGGUAGGCCUAACACAUGCAAGUCGAACGGCAGCACAGUAAGAGCUUGCUCUUACGGGUGGCGAGUGGCGGACGGGUGAGGAAUACAUCGGAAUCUACUUUUUCGUGGGGGAUAACGUAGGGAAACUUACGCUAAUACCGCAUACGACCUACGGGUGAAAGCAGGGGAUCUUCGGACCUUGCGCGAUUGAAUGAGCCGAUGUCGGAUUAGCUAGUUGGCGGGGUAAAGGGCCACCAAGGCGACGAUCCGUAGCUGGUCUGAGAGGAUCGUCAGCUACACUGGAACUGAGACAGGGUACAGACUCCUACAGGAGGAAGCAGUGGGGAAUAUUGGACAAAGGGGGCAAGCCUGAUCCAGCCAUACCGCGUGGGUGAAGAAGGCCUUAGGGUUGUAAAGCCCUUUUGUUGGGAAAGAAAAGCAGCAGGUUAAUACCCCGCUGUUCUGACGGUACCCAAAGAAUAAGCACCGGCUAACUUCGUG